rnacentral:misc_RNA from 1 species
GAUGAAGAACGUAGCGAAAUGCGAUACUUGGUGUGAAUUGCAGAAUCCCGUGAACCAUCGAGUCUUUGAACGCAAGUUGCGCCCGAAGCCACUAGGCCGAGGGCACGCAUGCCUGGGCGUCACACGCCGUUGCCCCCCCAUCUACUCCUUCGGGAUUGCGGGGGGGCGGAUGAUGGCCUCCCGUGCGCCUAGCCGCGCGGUUGGCAUAAAUACCAAGUCCUCGGCGACGCACGCCACGACAAUCGGUGGUUGCGAAACCUCGGUUGCCCGUCGUGUGCGUUCGUCGCGCAUCGAGGGCUCGAAAAAAUGCUCGGCUCCGGCUGGGCUUUCAACGCGACCCCAGGUCAGGCGGGGUUACCCGCUGAAUUUAAGCAUAUCAAUAAGCGGAGGA